UACGUAGGUGGCAAGCGUUGUCCGGAUUUACUGGGCGUAAAGGGCGCGUAGGCGGUCGUGACAAGUCACUUGUGAAAUCUCCGGCGUUAACCCGGAGCGGUCAAGUGAUACUGUCGGACUAGAGUACAGAAGGGGCAACUGGAAUUCUCGGUGUAGCGGUGAAAUGCGUAGAUAUCGAGAGGAACACCUGCGGCGAAGGCGGGUUGCUGGGCUGAUACUGACGCUGAUGCGCGAAAGCCAGGGGAGCGAACGGG
rnacentral:rRNA from 1 species